UACGAAGGGGGCAAGCGUUGUUCGGAAUUACUGGGCGUAAAGGGCGCGCAGGCGGCCGAUCAAGUCAGAUGUGAAAGCCCCGGGCUCAACCUGGGAAUAGCAUUUGGGACUGGUCGGCUAGAGUUCGGGAGAGGAGAGUGGAAUUCCCAGUGUAGAGGUGAAAUUCGUAGAUAUUGGGAAGAACACCGGUGGCGAAGGCGGCUCUCUGGACCGACACUGACGCUGAGGCGCGAAAAGCGUGGGGAGCAAACAGGG
rnacentral:rRNA from 1 species